rnacentral:snoRNA from 1 species
AAAAACCAAUAAUCGUGCGGAUUAUACAACCAGGACUAUAAAACCGUGUUGCUAGUAUGCCCUUUUUUAAAGCUAUGGCGUAUUUCUAGCGUCAAGUCCACCGGAGAGAACAUCUCGUUCAUCUUAGCGCUCUUUUGUAGUUCGACGACAGGCUCUUGUGGCAUGUCCUAUCGAACUGCGAGGGCCGGCAGAACGUACAGAA